AGGCGAGUGAGGGAACGAGGAGCGGCCGGGUGUGAGUGUGUGGGAGUGAGAGUGUGUGGGAGUGGGGUGAGGGAGAGGCUGACGGGACGCGAGGCUGUGAGAAACUGGGCGAGUGUGCGAGGACGCCCGGCCAGCCUGCGGGAGCCGCGGUCAGCGGAGGAGAAAGGAGGCGGCUCCCGGUAUCCCGACCCCCUCCCCCUCCUCUCCUUCCCCCCACUUCCAGCCGCCCGGCGGCCCGCGCUUCCUCGAAGGCCCCAGCCCGGCUCAGUCGGCCGAGAGCGAGGGAGGAGCCCCCCGAACCAGGUGCUGGAGUCCGCUUGUCAGGGAGGGGGGCAGUCUGUGAUUCUGAGAACAGAGCCAAGAAGGGGAACAGCAAAUUCAGUCACAUACAAUCCUCCACUCAGUCAAGAGCCACUUUCCUCUUCCUGCCUUGCCCCCCGCAGGGGGUAAGGAACUGAGCGUUUAAUCUUUAGCCCAUUGGCUACCAGCUAAAAUUCUACUUAGUUUCUAGUGGAUAGCUUUCUUAUUUUGCCCAUGUUUCUUUAGAAUCCCUAUUUAAUAUACUUUUGUCAGUAGUAGCAUUUAGGAGUAGCAGGGAGAGUGACAAUAAAUUAGCCCCUUCUUUUUUCCCUUCUCAUUCAGGCCCCUUUUCCUCUCCAGAGGGAAAUUACCAGUAAACUCUUCUAAAUCUUCCACCCCUUCUCAGUCAUACUGUGAAGAAACACACUAAAGUGGACAUUAUUUGACCAGUGAACACGAACCCAGCUUCAGGCAUCGGUUUGUUGUGGCACAUGGAGAAACAUCUCUUUUAAAAUAUCUCCCAAUUACCCUUUUCACAAUUUGUAUCCACCUAGGAUUUGCUGCUGGGGUAAGUCACUAGAUUUAUUUCUCAAAGCUCCCCUCUCUAUGAGGUGAAAGACUGACCAACCAUGAACACUGGUAGGGGAUGGGGAAAGGGGACAGAGCAGAGCCAGUUGUUCCACACUUUGGGAAGCAGGAGUAGCUUUUAUCAUCUUCCUCUGGGGGAGCAGGCAUAGAGACAUAAACUGAGUGAAAAUGGGUGGAGGAAGAACUUCUAUACCCACGAACAACAUGUGAAGAGAGAGAACCAAACAUAAAGUAAGGAGGGUAGACGUUACAUCCAAGAGGAAAUAAUCCAAGCAAGGAAGCACAAGCUGAUCAAGAUGUGUAGUUCUGUGGCUGCCAAGUUGUGGUUUUUGACAGAUCGUCGCAUCAGGGAAGACUAUCCUCAGAAAGAGAUUUUACGAGCAUUGAAGGCCAAAUGUUGUGAGGAGGAGCUGGACUUUAGGGCUGUGGUGAUGGAUGAGGUGGUGCUGACAAUCGAGCAAGGAAACUUGGGUCUGCGGAUCAAUGGAGAGCUAAUCACUGCCUACCCACAAGUGGUGGUAGUCAGAGUACCAACCCCUUGGGUGCAAAGUGAUAGUGACAUCACUGUUUUGCGCCAUCUAGAGAAGAUGGGAUGUCGGUUAAUGAACCGACCUCAAGCCAUCCUGAACUGCGUUAAUAAGUUCUGGACAUUCCAAGAGUUGGCUGGCCAUGGUGUUCCUCUGCCAGAUACCUUCUCUUAUGGUGGCCAUGAAAAUUUUGCUAAAAUGAUUGAUGAAGCUGAAGUACUGGAGUUCCCAAUGGUAGUAAAGAAUACGCGGGGUCAUAGAGGUAAAGCUGUUUUCUUGGCUCGAGAUAAGCACCAUUUGGCUGAUCUAAGCCAUCUUAUUCGCCAUGAAGCGCCAUACCUGUUCCAGAAGUAUGUUAAAGAGUCUCAUGGACGGGAUGUACGUGUCAUUGUCGUGGGAGGCCGUGUGGUUGGCACCAUGUUACGUUGUUCAACAGAUGGGAGAAUGCAAAGCAACUGCUCAUUAGGUGGUGUGGGGAUGAUGUGCUCAUUGAGUGAACAAGGGAAGCAGCUAGCUAUCCAGGUGUCUAAUAUCCUGGGGAUGGAUGUGUGUGGCAUUGACCUGUUGAUGAAAGACGACGGCUCCUUCUGCGUCUGUGAGGCCAAUGCAAAUGUAGGUUUCAUCGCCUUUGAUAAGGCUUGUAAUCUAGAUGUAGCUGGUAUCAUAGCAGACUAUGCCGCCUCCCUUCUACCCUCUGGCCGGCUCACCCGGCGUAUGUCCCUGCUCUCCGUGGUGUCCACUGCCAGUGAGACUAGUGAGCCGGAGCUGGGUCCCCCAGCCAGCACUGCUGUUGACAACAUGAGUGCAAGUUCCAGCUCUGUUGACAGCGACCCUGAAAGCACGGAGCGAGAGCUGCUCACCAAGCUCCCAGGGGGCCUGUUCAACAUGAACCAGCUGCUAGCCAAUGAAAUCAAACUACUGGUGGACUGACUCCACUGGUAAUUAACCAACAAAACCCUUGUAAAACUUUCUUUUUUCUUUUCUAUUUUUAAAACCAACUUGCAAUGCUGUUCAUGGAGGAUGCUCAGGAAUAUGAGAGAAAAUUAGUAGGAUUAGUUGGAGAGAGUGGGAGAUAGAUGAGACCUCUGCUAGUAAGAUGUUACUUCAUUUACAAAUCCUACAAAUAGAGAGGCAGAUCAUUUACAAAUCCUACAAAUAGAGAGGCAGAAUAGGUGGGGUAUAGAAAAAUGUCAGGCUCUCAUAGUUACCCUUUUAAAUUGCUAAAAAAUUUGUAUGCUCAUAGGCCAUGAGGAACAAAUACUUUUUUUUUAAUGGUCCCUUGCUUUUGUUUUUGUACAAAAAAAAAUGGUUUUGCUACAAAUAUCCAAGUAGCAAACUUCACAUUGUGUUGGAAGAUUUGUCAUCAGUGAGGAAAACACCUGCUUAAAUUACAGGAAUUUUUGUGUUACACAGCUUUGAAAAUUCUGCCAUUUCCUUAUCUGCCUUUAGUUUGUAGUUUAUGAAAUCUUGAGGGGCUCUUUUACUGGGAUUUCUUAUUUUGCUUUUUCCCCCUUAAUUUGGUGGGAGGGUCAAAUUGAAUAUAACCCAAUAAAGGCUUCUUAAUGACAAAAUUGGCAUGUUUGCAUGAUGAAAUGGAAAUGAACAGUAUUGCAAUGUCCGGUAUACAAAAUAACAUUUAUUCAAUGUAGAUAAAAUUACACUAGUUUAAAAUAUGUGCAUUGACUUGUAUUUGUUAGUGUUUUAGUCUUUUUUGAAAGAUGUGCUCUGUUAAUGUUGCUUUUUUUUUUUAAUACAUGCUAGUCUAAUAUUUCCUGCUCUAUGCCUGCAUCUAUAACAAUGGCCAAAGUGAAGAAAAUGCUACCUUUUUUGUUAACAAGACACUGACUUGAAACAUGUACAUUUAAAGCGUUUUAUUUUUUCCCUUUUUGUUUUGGUGGUUGGGCAUUUAAGGACAAGGAAAAAUAUUUUUGGGGGCAAAUCAAGAGCCUAUGAGUUCUAAGUAUAAAGCUGAAGUGAUUUCGAAUGCCAGCAUUAUAUAUUUGCAUUUUUCACAUUUUACGAGGGAGUAUAUAUGUAUGUGUGUGCACGCAUGCAUGUGUAUGUGUUUUGCUUUUUGUUUACAUCAACUAAUCAAAAAGGAUAAUUUAGAAAAUGGAGCAUGAUGGGAAACAGAGUUUUUGACUUUAAAAAACAGAUGAGUUGUCUUCAUAAGUAGACUCCACUGGGGUAGAGGUAUUCACCUUAAAACAUAGGGUGAAUAGAUGCUUUUUUAGGCCUUUUUGUGUGUAUGUACGUUGUUUGUUUUUUUCUUUUUGUUUCUAGCCUGUUCAGUGUACGGUUUAUUCAAGGCUACAUGCUUUUCUUUAAUGCUUCUGGCUAUGCAUUUUCUCUUUUUACAUAUAGGAUUUGGGAUUGGGGGUGGGUUGGAUGUUUUUGUUUGGGGACUUAUUUAGUAGUAUUGAGUCUCUUAUAGCCCUACUCUUAAGCCUUCAAUACUGUCCACUCUUUAUAUUCCUUUACUUGCAGAAUUUAUAAAAGCCCCCAAACUGCAUAUAAUAUGAGCCUUUAAAACAUGGGUAAAACUAAUCCCAUUGAUGGGUUUGGAUGGUAUGUUAAGAAAUGGAGAUGCUGCAGACCCCAACGUAAUUUUUUAAACAGCAAGUUUUCCAUCUCCCUACAAAUCCUCUGAAGCUUUUACCCAAGCCCUUUCUUGCCUCUCCAGUGCUAUUUUCCUUCAGAUGGACGUUAAACAUAAUUUCUUGGACACUACUAGAGAGACUUCGAGGCAAUAAUAAAAGAUCAGUAUUAACCAGCUAUAACAGAGGUUUGAUCAUGCUUACUUGUACAGUUUUCCCCCCAUUUUAAAAAGGAAUGUAAUAAAAUUUGUUUUUUCCAUAGAAUUAAAUAAUAUUAAAAUUGAGUGAAAGGUUGAUUGUUGAUGAACAGAAUAGUACCUCUCAUCUGUGCAGUGUCUCAUUUCACCUCAGAGAAAAGGAUACAUAAGAGGAGUUUGUAAUUUAUCUUAGGAUAUUCUAAUUGCAUUUAAAAGAACUUAUCUUGCACAGGGUAAAUGGGGGACUCACAUACAUAUAUUAGUACCUCUGACUCAUUAACAGAAAGAAAUACUUGGUACUUCUUUCGCUGAAUGACCAUACUGUGGAGGAUGCAUACUAUUUGGUAUAGAGAAAAUGAGGAAGAAAGAACUGCUUAAUUAAAUCAUCAUUCAUAUGUUCAUGUAGAGACCAUCUGGUUGCCAUGUGUGUUAUGACACAUACACUUUGAAUAGUUAUAUAUCACAAGUAUGUAGAUUAAUACAUUUAAAAACAACCUCUUUAUUCAAUGAAAAGUUCAUGUUUGUGUUGGUGGGGUAAGGCAUCAGGAAAAAUGUAGUUAGUCUUUUCUUAACUUAUACCAAAUUAACCAACUAUAUUAUAGGAAAUAUGUGAAAUUAGUUCAUUAGCUUUAUUCACUAUUAUGCAUUCACAUGAUAUUAAAACGUACACUCACAUGUUAGAAUGAAAAGAGCAGUAGUUAUCUUAGAUUUUAAAAACAUGGAUAUCUUGAAUUCCUUCAAGAUGAAGGUAAAGAAUAAGAGCAAAUCAUUCUGGAAGUACCCUAAGGAAACAGCAGCAGAUAUUUAGGUUAAAUUUAUUUUCAUAAUUGUUUAAUAACUUUUGUAUAAUCUUCAUUGCUAUUAUGAGAUAAAAUGUAUAUAUCAAAUAUGUGUAAUGAUAAAAUCUGAAUUGUAAAAUUUUUGUAUAUUGUUAAAAUUGUAAUUCUAAAUUGUAUUUCAAAAAUAAUUAUUUCUGAUAUUGUUUUUAUGUCACCCAUGAUGAAAACUGGACUUUAUAUAUCGAAACAUAUAAGUAUGAACUAUUCUAUUUAAAAUUUUUAAUAGUUUUUUUCUUUUUUGGUGCCUAUAAUUGAUUGGUCAUUUCUGCUGGCUUUUCACCAAUGAACACUGAAAUCUUUCUGUAUAUGUUAUCAAUAAGAAAACUACCCUGGAACAGUAGAAAAACCCAACAAGAGACUUGGCAUUCAUCGAGCACGUUAUCAGACUUUGAGAAGAUAUUGAAGGCAUUGACUUUGAAAAUCAUCUUUUUCUCGAGAAGAAAGCAAUGGAGAAGCAAAUUUGCUUCAUUCAGUGAAUCCCCAGUUCGGGGCUUAUGGGGCUUAGAGACAUUGUGAAAUCAAAUCUUGUGUUAUACUUUUCUCCUGGCUCACUUUUUUUGAGAAGGUUUAUGGGCUAUUUGGCUGGUGAGACACGAUCCCCUCCUAAGAAAAUGUAGGUGCUCAGACAGGUAACCACUGCUGCUACUGUUUUUAUUUGUUUGUUUGUUCAAUUUUAUUUAAGAUUUGUUUUUGUUGUACUAGGAUUUUUUAAAAUGUAAUAUAUUGCAGGAUUUAUAACCAGGUUCACUGACUGCUUGCUUGCUUUCUUUUUUUUUUUUCUUCUUAAAAAAACAAAACAAAGUUUCAUUUAAAACACAUUUAGGCACCUUUGGAGCUUGGAUUUUGGAAUGUUUCAGUAGUGGACAGAAAUCUGCUGUUGGAAUCUUCUAGUCUUCCAGGUUUAAUUUGAAAUGUUUUUAGUUUUGUUUUGGAUUUUUGUGUGGUAUUUUAUUUCCUUUAUUACCAAUGCCAUUUUGCCAUGCUGUUUUGGGGUGGCUGCCUAACUCUAGUGAAAAUUAUUUCUAUAUUAACGAAAGUUUGGCCUUUGAAGAUCCUUAAUGUUUUGCAUUUUUUACAUUGUUUUUAAAGAAAUAUUCUAACUGCUUGCACUGUUACUGUUCUUUACCAGCCUUUUCAGGAGCCAAAAAAACAAAUACAAACAAACAAAAAAAUACCCAGAGAACAAACUUUCCUUCUUCCCCCUUCCUGAUGAUGAGUGAGAAGUAUUGAGAACUUUCGGGGUCAGUGCCCUUCUAAACUCCCCUUCCCCCAAUAAUGCAGCUGUAUAAUGAACGGUAAAUGCACCGGUUUGGAUUCAGGCACAGCCCCAGUCUGCCUGCAGGUGGCGUAUGUGUUCGUGUUUUAAUGUAUUCAGAGCCAUUGGGCAAUAAGCAGUCCAGAACAUUGAAAACUCAAGCAGGUAAAGCACCUAACACCCUUAGUUUCUAGAAUUACUUUAAAAAACUUUUAUAUUGCUGCAUCUUCCACAGUUCUUUGGGUAGUCUCUGAACUUAAAAUUUGUAGGAGUUGUAGACUACCUACUUAAAUUUUUAAGUUAUGGUAUUUGUUCAUAGAUUGUAGGGGUAGGUAAAGAAGGAAACAGAUAAGAAAAUGUCUUCUUGAGGUGGCAGCUGCUGAGUGGCUGAAUCUUACCACUUUCUGUUUUUUUUUGGAAAUUUUCCCAACUUAGCAUGAACUUUGAUCAUACAGUGUUUGAUUUUCUGUGAUUGAGAUUUUUGUUUUUUAUUUUCGGAGGGAAGGUCUUGGAGAAACAUUAAGAAGUUUUUGUAUAUACAAAAAUACGAAAUGUUAAACAAAGGAAUUUCUUCUUAUUUAAUCUGAAUGGUAAGCAAGAACUCUUUCUAUAUACCCUUCUGCUGCAGCAGACAACUAAACUGGUAGGUGGCAGCAGAGGAAGGAAUUCUUCAGAUUGAUGGCUACUGACUUAAAGUCUGCAUAGGAGAAGAGAUAGAGCAUGACAUAUACCAAGUGAAGCAAGGGGGACAAAAAUGGAAACAGGACUAAGAUUCCUGCAUUUUGACUCUAAAUGGUUCUUUUGAUGUAACCAGUGAUCCUUUUUGCUUACCCCCAUCAACAGAAUGGAUGAAGACAGAUUUGACUAUGUGCUCUUUCAAAGUGGAGAAUAUGAAUAUACAGAACAAGAAAGCAAUAACUCUAACCUGUUUGAUUCCGUCUGUUUUCUAAAUAAAGACACGAUGCACUGGAAAUAAAA